rnacentral:rRNA from 1 species
UAGGGGCGAAAGACUAAUCGAACCAUCUAGUAGCUGGUUCCAUCCGAAGUUUCCCUCAGGAUAGCUGGCGCCGAUGUGUCCCGCCCGUUCGCGGGCGUACGGACGCCGGUGGGACUCCGCGCUGUACGGCGCGGUAACAACACGCUCGUAACACGGAGGAUGUCUCAUACGG